UUUUGAUGAUAAUAUUUUAGGAGGUAACGUUCGUCGCGGACAUGCCAGCAAAUCUGCUCACGCUCCGAGACAUGACAGAAGAUUUCGAGCUGACUGGCUUCACAGAGCAGGAUAAGCUGCGGGAGGUGCAGAAGUAUGCUGCGUUCUUGAAGAAAAUUCUAGAGAGGCAAUCCCAUUUGGCCGGGACGUGCGAAGUCAUCAUUUACAGAGAUGAAGUCGUGGGAGUUGCUGACAUCCUGCAGACAUCAUAUAAAUAAUUAAGUUAAAUAAAAUUAUUUCUGAGCUGUAUGAGCAGAAGAAGCAUGAAUUCUAUGUCACCUUUAUUUUCUUAACGUGUGGGGUCGAGGGGCCCGCCGUAGGGGCCCUGGCGGGAUUACAGGGGCAGAGGCCCUUACCGGGGGAGCAGGGGGCGAAGCGCACGGAAGCUCUUGGAUUUGAGCAAUUUAGAACCUUCAAGAUGGCAGUUUUUGAGGAAUAAAAUAGUAAAACUUUUCCUAGGUUUGUGACGUUCCCCAUUGUUUUAUUAUGUUAGAAAUAUAUAUAUACGUCUCUCUCACAAACUCAAUUGUAUAGAAUUAAGGUUUUUCACGUGAACCACUUAUUUUUUUACAAUAAAAGCAGUAAAAAACAACCG